rnacentral:rRNA from 1 species
GACGGGGGGGGCAAGUGUUCUUCGGAAUGACUGGGCGUAAAGGGCACGUAGGCGGUGAAUCGGGUUGAAAGUGAAAGUCGCCAAAAAGUGGCGGAAUGCUCUCGAAACCAAUUCACUUGAGUGAGACAGAGGAGAGUGGAAUUUCGUGUGUAGGGGUGAAAUCCGUAGAUCUUGGGAGGAACACCAGUGGCGAAGGCGGCUACCUGGACCGGUUCUGACGCUGAUGCGCGAAAGCGUGGGUAGCAAACAGG